GGGGAUUUAGCUCAGUGGUAGAGCGCUUGCCUAGAAAGCAUAAGGCCCUGGGUUCAGUCCCCAGCUCCG
rfam:Rattus norvegicus chromosome 16, whole genome shotgun sequence.